rnacentral:rRNA from 1 species
UCGAUUAGUUUGAUCAUGGCUCAGAAUCAACGCUGGCGGCGUGCCUCAGACAUGCAAGUCGAACGCGAAAGUCUCCUUCGGGGGGCAAGUAGAGUGGCGCACGGGUGAGUAACACGUAGGUAAUCUACCUUCGGAUGGGGAAUAACAAUCGGAAACGGUUGCUAAUACCGCAUAAUGCAGCGGCACCUAAUGGUGACAGUUGUUAAAGCGGGGGAUCGAAAGACCUCGCGUCUGAAGAGGAGCCUGCGGCGGAUUAGCUAGUUGGUAGGGUAAUGGCCUACCAAGGCAACGAUCCGUAGCCGGCCUGAGAGGGCGGUCGGCCACACUGACACUGACAUACGGGUCAGACUCCUACGGGAGGCAGCAGUCGGGAAUUUUGGGCAAUGGGCGAAAGCCUGACCCAGCAACGCCGCGUGAAGGAUGAAAUCCCUCGGGAUGUAAACUUCGCAAGAACGGGAAGAAUAAGUAGGGGACAAUACCCCCUAUGAUGACGGUACCGUUUGUAAGCUCCGGCUAACUCCGUGCCAGCAGCCGCGGUAAUACGGGGGGAGCAAGCGUUGUUCGGAUUUACUGGGCGUAAAGGGCGCGUAGGCGGCCAGUGCAAGUCAGUUGUGAAAUCUCCGAGCUUAACUCGGAAAGGUCAACUGAUACUGCUCGGCUAGAGUGCGGAAGGGGCAACUGGAAUUCUUGGUGUAGCGGUGAAAUGC